GACGAACGCUGGCGGCGUGCCUAAUACAUGCAAGUAGAACGCUGAAGAGAGGAGCUUGCUCUUCUUGGAUGAGUUGCGAACGGGUGAGUAACGCGUAGGUAACCUGCCUUGUAGCGGGGGAUAACUAUUGGAAACGAUAGCUAAUACCGCAUAACAAUGGAUGACACAUGUCAUUUAUUUGAAAGGGGCAAUUGCUCCACUACAAGAUGGACCUGCGUUGUAUUAGCUAGUAGGUGAGGUAACGGCUCACCAUGGCAAUGAUACGUAGCCGACCUGAGAGGGUAAUCGGCCACAUUGGGACUGAGACACGGCCCAAACUCCUACGGGAGGCAGCAGUAGGGAAUCUUCCACAAUGGACGAAAGUCUGAUGGAGCAACGCCGCGUGAGUGAAGAAGGGUUUCGGCUCGUAAAACUCUGUUGUUAAAGAAGAACAUAUCUGAGAGUAACUGUUCAGGUAUUGACGGUAUUUAACCAGAAAGCCACGGCUAACUACGUGCCAGCAGCCGCGGUAAUACGUAGGUGGCAAGCGUUGUCCGGAUUUAUUGGGCGUAAAGCGAGCGCAGGCGGUUUGAUAAGUCUGAAGUUAAAGGCUGUGGCUCAACCAUAGUUCGCUUUGGAAACUGUCAAACUUGAGUGCAGAAGGGGAGAGUGGAAUUC
rnacentral:rRNA from 1 species